rnacentral:rRNA from 1 species
GAGGUGCUUGCACCUUAUCUUAGCGGCGGACGGGUGAGUAAUGCUUAGGAAUCUGCCUAUUAGUGGGGGACAGCAUUCCGAAAGGGAUGCUAAUACCGCAUACGUCCUACGGGAGAAAGCAGGGGAUCUUCGGACCUUGCGCUAAUAGAUGAGCCUAAGUCGGAUUAGCUAGUUGGUGGGGUAAAGGCCUACCAAGGCGACGAUCUGUAGCGGGUCUGAGAGGAUGAUCCGCCACACUGGGACUGAGACACGGCCCAGACUCCUACGGGAGGCAGCAGUGGGGAAUAUUGGACAAUGGGGGGAACCCUGAUCCAGCCAUGCCGCGUGUGUGAAGAAGGCCUUAUGGUUGUAAAGCACUUUAAGCGAGGAGGAGGCUACUGAGACUAAUACUCUUGGAUAGUGGACGUUACUCGCAGAAUAAGCACCGGCUAACUCUGUGCCAGCAGCCGCGGUAAUACAGAGGGUGCGAGCGUUAAUCGGAUUUACUGGGCGUAAAGCGUGCGUAGGCGGCUUUUUAAGUCGGAUGUGAAAUCCCCGAGCUUAACCUGGGAAUUGCAUUCGAUACUGGGAAGCUAGAGUAUGG